GACGAACGCUGGCGGCGUGCUUAACACAUGCAAGUCGAGCGGAGCGGCGAACGGGUGGGUAACGCGUGAGUAACUGCCCCCCUCCCUGGGAUAACAGUUGGAAACGGCUGCUAAUACCGGAUAGUGGGGGAUGACUCGGGUCCAAUCAGCUUGUUGGUGGGGUAGUGUCCAACCAAGGCGACGACGGGUAGCCGGCCUGAGGGGGCGACCGGCCCCAUUGGGCUGAGAUAGGGCCCCAACUCCUACGGGAGGCAGCAGUGGGGAAUAUUGCACAAUGGUGGAAACCCUGAUGCAGCAGCGCCGGGUGCGGGAUGACGGGCGUCGGGUUGUAAACCGCGUUCAGCCAUGACGCGGUAGUGGCAGAAGAAGCACCGGCUAACUACGUGCCAGCAGCCGCGGUAAUAC
rnacentral:rRNA from 1 species